UAAUCAUUCAAGCUGCAUCAGACUAAACAU
rnacentral:piRNA from 1 species